GGGACCCACAAAGUAAGGCUUUAGUAACAAGAGAUGUCUCCAACAAGUGUUUUGUUGUUACUUAAGUCUUGGUACAAGAGUCAAAA